rnacentral:lncRNA from 1 species
UUUUCAAAUCCUAGAAUACAGAGAAUUUUUCCUAAAGCUUAUAAAUACUGUUUGCUUGAUAUUUUCAGAUCCUGAACUUGAACCACUGAAAGGAAAGCAAAAGGACUCUGACAGGAGAUUUUUUACAUACAAGCCUUAUGAAAGCAAGUGGGAUCCACAGAUGCUACUGCCAAAGAGUCCCUGGCCACCUACAUCUGCUUUAUUACUGAGAACCUGGCCUGUUUCAUGGAUAUCUACCACUGAAAUCAGCUACAAUGGAUGAGCUUACUCCUUCUGCGAGAAUUCGAAAACACUGCUUGCUAAAUGGGGGGGAAGAAGAUGCACACGCUGGUUUUCUCCUAUUAUUUUAGACCAGAAAAACGUUCUCUGUUUGCAGCGAGGAUGGCUGAUUUUUUUAUAACACCCCUGCUAGUGCGCUGGGGACAGAAGCAAAAGGGACUCCGGGUAAGUUUGUUUUACAGGCGUGUUAAAACGCCUAACUGGAGGGCG